CAAACACAACAUAUAAAUAAUCCAUCAAUGAAUACAGAUCACAAUAAAAGCCCAGAAUUAAAUAAGUUAAAUAUAAUGGAUCAAUAUGAUCAUGAAGACUUGAACAAAGUUGUUGUUGAACAUUCCAACCUGUAGAGCAUAACAGGAAAAAUUAACACAAGUAGUAGUGUUGAAAAUCAAGAUAUUGUAAAAUUGAUUAAGGGGCAUACAACUAAUACUAGUCAAGAGGAGGAGUUCCCCACUCCUUUGCAAAUUGAUAUUGUUGAUGCUACAAAUGCCUCUGAGCAAGAAGAUUUGUUAGCCCUUCCAUAUAGUGAUAAUAUUGUGGAGAGAAAUAAUAAAUCACUUGAAAAACAAUUGAUAAAGGAGCCAUCAAUACAAGAUGAUAAACUAAUAGUACCUUUUGUUGAAAGUCAACAGAGUUUUCCUAUGAAAAUGCUUUAUGAACUAGUCUCUCAUCAAGUAGUAAAUAAGGAGAAAUCAUACCAGCACAAGAGAUAAAUUUAAAGGUGGAGGAGCAUAAUGAAUUUGAAACCAACAGAAUUUCUCUGAAGUUUGUAAAGAAGCAGUAGUAUCACCUCAAGAUAAAUCAAAAAAGAGAAAGAAUAAACCUCAAUGAGUGGAGCAUCUAGGAUUAAUCUUGUGAUGUUUGGAAGAUCUAUUUUGAAAUGAAGUACAAAGCUCUCAUAUGGAAUAUCAAAUCUAUGAGGCCUCAUCAUUCUUUCCAUCGAAUUCAAAUAUUUCAUAGGCAUCACAAAUUUGAUUUGGUGGCACUGAUGGAACUUUUUCAAGAAAUAAGGCAUAUUCGGCAAUAUAAAAGAAGAUUGGGCAUGACUUAUGAAAAUUAUAAUGUAAACAGUAAGAUAUGAUUAUUUGUAUAGAUGGAUGUAAUAUUCAGAAUAAUAAUUGACUGUGGAGUUACUUUUUGAUAAUGGUCAUCAGAUGAUUAAUACUUUGGUAUAUGCAAAAUGUAAUCCCUUUAAGAGACUACAAUUAUGGAAUGAGAUCUAUCCUAUUAGAUGGCAUACCCUUGGUUGGUAGGUGGAGAUUUCAAUGUCAUUUUGAAUGUUGAAAAGAAGAUUAGGGGACUGCUAGUGUAUCCUAAUGAGGUGGAAGAUUUUGGUUUCUUUGUAAACUCAUGUGAGUUGGUUGAUUUAAACUUUAAAGGCAGUCCUUUCAUAUGAUGGAAUGGUGGGGCUGAUGAAGAGUUCAUCUUUAAAAGAUUGGAUAUAUUGUUUGUUAUCAUUUUUAUCUAGGAGAAAUGUGUAAUGUGGGUUAGAAAUUCUAGCCAGAUCUAAGUUAGAUCAUGCAUCAAUGCUUCUAUCUUGUGGUGGACAUGUUCCAUAUUUCUAUAAACCUUUCACAUUUCUUAAAAUUUUAGACGGGAAAAGAAGAUUAUAAAGAGGUGGUGUUACAAAAUUGGGUUAUUAAAGGUUAUUCAGAUGUCUUUGUUGGCCUGAAGAUGAAAAUAAAGAGAACUAAACAAGCACUAUCAAAAUAGAGUAGAGAUUGUUAUGAAGAUAUUUUCAACCACUCCUUGUGGGGGAAAAUAUUGUCAGAGUUAAAGAACAACUAUUUGAGGAGUCAUACAUUGUUGCCAACAACGCAAUACUUAGCAGGGCUCAUGUUGAGUAUAAUAUGUACUUACACUUUGAGAAGGUGUUUUGAAGACAAAAAUUAGGUAUUUAGUGGUUCACAUAGGGAGAUAUAAAUAUAAAAUUCUUUUAUUGUCUUGUAAAAGGUAGAAGGAAAAGAUUGGAAAUUUUUAAUAUCCAAAAAGUUGAUGGUUCAUGGCCUGAAGGUAAUGAAGUAGUGGAUGAAGCCAUCGAAUUUUAUCAAGAUCUGUUUAAUAGAAGGUUAGCUGAUAUGGAUAUGUCUGUACUAUAUUUGGUUCCUUCUGUGAUAUCUGAAGAAGAUAAUGAUGAUUUGAAUAGACCUCCUACCUUUGAAGAAGUCAGAAGGGUAGUUUUUGAGCUAAAUGGAGAUAGUGUAUGUGGUCUUGAUGGUUUUACUAGUCACUUCUAUCAGGUUUACUGGGACAUUGUUGAUAAUGAUAUGUUUUAAUGAUAUGUUUGAAGUGGUAAGUACCUUUUUAAUGUUUUGACUUUAUCUAAGUUUAUUACUCAUACAAAUUUUGGUUUUAACCCCAAAAAAAGAAUAUGUGUUUUUUCAGAUUUAACACCUAUCAGUCUUAGUAAUCUUCUAAAUGAGGUCAUUUCCAGACGUAUCCAUGACAUACUAGAGGUGUUGUUACUAAAUCUUAUCCCUACUAACCAGUUUGGCUUUAUCAAGUGUAGUAAUUUUUUUAAUGAGGUCAUUUCGAGACUUAUCCAUGACAUAUUAAAGGUGUUGUUACCAAAUCUUAUCUCUGCUAACCAGUUUUUCUUUAGUAGGAGCAUAAUAGAAAAUGUCUUACUUGCGCAAGAAAUUAUAGUAGACAUCAGAAAAAGUAGUAAAACUGCUAAUGUAGUCUUUAAGCUUAAUAUGGCAAAAAUGUAUGAUAGAGUGGACUAAAGUUUUUUUUAUGUAAGUUCUUGAAAAUAUGAGCUUUUUAUAUUCUGACAAGAUUUGGAGACUAGUUGCAAAUAACUGGUACUAUGUGUUGAUUAAUGGACAAGCUUCUGGUUUUUCUUAUUCUACUUGAGGGGUUUGAUGAGUCUGAGAUUUUGAAUCAUUCGAGGCCUUUUUAUUUUAACAAAUAGUGUCCUCAAUACCUAUUUAUGUCCUUAUCUGAUGAUAUUUUGAUGUUUUGCAGCGAUGAAGACUAAAUGACAAGGCGAGGAUGAAUCUGAGAAAAAAACCCAAAAAUAUUGAAAAGAGUGUAAACUUCUAGCUGAGGAUCGCCUAGCACAAUGGGCGGAUCACCCAACAGGUUGGGAUCUCACCUAAAGUGAUGGUGUUCACUUCUGAAAAUCUUCAAGGCAGGUCGGUGAUACAAAGUGUAAACGAUGAUUCGCCGAAGCAGUUGGGCAAGCUAAAGCCUCCACCACCAAAAGUGACAGACUUUUGAGUUAAAAUGAAGGCGAAAUGGGCGAACAAAGGUUGUAAUCGGUGAUUCACCAAACGUGAAAGGCUGACUCAAUAGAGUUCAUCGAUUGAGGUUCAAACACUUGAAUUUUGAAGCCAAGAAAAGGUGAGCUGAAGAAUAGAAAGGUGAUCUGCCGAAUAAUGUAGGCGAGUCCGACUAAUGUCACCAAUUCGGUCACACAUGGAAUUUCAGACUAACUUUUGGGAAAAAUAUAAACAAUGAAACUUUUACUUUCUAUCCAUUCUAGCUUUUUUCUUAGUUUGGGGUUUUUUGAAUAAUCUUGUAAUUGAUGAUUGAGGGUUCAAUUCAAAGUGGGUGUUGAAGAUUAUUGUUGGUUAUUAACACUUUAAUGGCUGAAAACAUAAUAAGUAUAAUUUCUUUUCCUUUUAUGAUGUUUGGUUAAAAGCUCAAAUCUAAGGGUGUGAUUAUGAAAUUUGGUGUUAAUUUAAUUUAGUGGGUCUACUGUCUUGCUCUGCUUUUCUGAUAUUCAUUCAUGGAUUUGAGCUAUUUAAUAUUGGUUUAAUUUAUGGGUUAAGGUUGCAAACUUAAUCAUAGUUUAGAUCUAUGAUUGAUGCUUGAUGAGAUUAAUUGAAGUGGGUCAAUAGCUUAAUACUUGCAAAUUGGGUUUGAUUAUUGUAGUUUGCUUGAAAGAGAAAUUGUAGUUCCAUUCUAAUUGUCAAAUCUUCUCAAAAGAGAGAUUUUAGUAAUGUAUUUGUAUUUUACAUGGAUGAGACCGAAAAGAAAUUCUAUGAUAUGAUGCAUUGAGAUCGAAAGAAGAUUUAUGUCGUUAGAGAUUACCUAGCCUAUCCAUGUUUUUCUAGCAUUAUUGAGCAAGCACCCUUAUUUGAUGUUGAUACCAACUCCCACGCCCCUACGUCAUCUUUUACUUGUUUAAUCCCUAUAUUGUGAUAAUUGAUUCCAAAAUCCUUUAUUAAAUUUGGUGAAAUUAUCCACCCACUUGUCCUAAUUACUACAAUGAAUUGGUUUGCACUUUUAUAUUCCUCAUUGAAUUCUUACAUUUAGAUCACUCCUUGUGGGAUUUGACCCCAACUCUUUUGUUGGAUAUUUAUAUUGCUAGUGAUCGCUUACUCAUUGAAUUGUUUUAGUGAGUAAUUUGAGUGUUAUCAGGGUCAAGCAAGGGGAUCCUCUAUCCCCUUAUGUUGAGGUUCUUUCUAGGGCUCCGAAUAACUUAUACUCGUAUUAUAAGGGUUCUGGUCUAUCUAGGUGGAGUGAAAAUAUUACUCACUUAGCGUAUGAUGAUCACAUCGUAAUUUUGUUAAUGUUGAUAGAUUCUCUAUAGAAUUGUUGAUGAAAACAUUGCAGGACUAUGAAAGAAAAUGAGGAUAGAAGAUUAACAAAGAAAAAAUGUCUUUAUUGUGCUUUAUAUGGCUGCUCAAAUAGAAAUUCAUCUUGUAGAAGAAUAUUCAGGUUUUCCUAGAGAUAAUUUUCCCUUAACUUACCUUGGAUUCCCAAUUGGGCAUGCUAGGAAAAGAAAACACACUCUGCUGAUCUGAUGAAGAAAAUACAUAAUAAGUUACAAGCUUUGGAAAGAAAUUAUUAUCUUUUGGAGGAAUGAUUGUUCUGAUCAAUAAUGUUUUAUAAAGUAUACCUAUAUAUCAAUUAUAUGUAAUCAUUCUACCCAAAUGCGUGAUUCAUGAUCUACACAAAGUUUUUGCUAGAUUUUUUUGGAGCUUCAAGAAAGUGGGCAGAAAUAAACCUUAGGUUUCUUGGGAUGAAAUUUGUCAACCUAAGAUGGGAGGAGGUCUGGGAUUCAGGUUAUUGUUUGACGUCUCAAGAGCUUUGUUUGUAAAGCUUUGGUGAAAUUUUAGGACUAAAAACACUAUAUGGUCUCAUCUCAUGUGGAACAAGUAUGUAGGCCUCAAACAGUGGAGUAGAAGAGAGGUUUUCGGACUUGGAAACAUAUGCUAAUGGCUAGGGAUUGCAUUGAUCAAGGAAUUUGGUGGCAACUUAACCGUGGAUCCCCUAGUAUUAUGUUUGAUGACUGGACUCAACUUGGAAUACUACACUACUAUCUACGAGUGCCUUUUCCUACUUAUCCUUUUUAGGAUGAUGUUAAUCAGUUAAUGCAAGAGGGCAGGUGGAAUGAAGAAUGGCUAAGACAUAAUUUCCAUGAAAGUGUGGUAGAACAUAUACUUAACAAGAUUGAUAUAUUGUAAGAGUGUGAGGAGGUGACUAAACCUUACUGGAUUCUCAAUCAUUCAUGUAAGUUCUAUCUUAGUUCAAUAUAGAAGGUUAUAAGGACCUCUAGAGUAACACAUGAAAGGUUUAGACAGGUUUGGAAAAAAAGACGCUCCUUUUAAAAUCAUUUUUUUUAUAGAGAUUAAUCAAACAAAGAAUUCCUAUUGGGGAUUUUUUUGUCCGAGUAGGACUAGAGAAUGUGGUUCAUUAUUGUUGUUGUGACCUUAGUGUUAAUGAAACAUUGGAACACCUCUUUAUCUCUUGUAAUGCAAAGUUGUUGUGGGAAAUGUUUGCUAGAGCAGCGGGUGUGGAGGGGACUUUCUUGCGACUAUAAGACACUAUUUUUAAAUGGUGGAAUGCUAAAUGAACAUCUAAAUUGAGACCUUUGUUUAAUGAUAUCCUUGGUUUUAUACUCUGGUAGACUUUGAAAGGGAGAAACAAAGUAAAACAUGGAGGAAAAAUCUCAAAUUUUAGCAUGACAGCAGAAAUCAAUAGAAAUGUUCAUAGUCUUGUUGUGGUUAGAUAUUCUUGGUUGAGGAAUAUUCCCAAAGAUGAUCCUAUGUUGAUUAAUAUCUUUGAAGGUUACAAAUCUAUUAUAGCUACUUAGGUGAUAUACUAGUCAUCUCUUGGUAUUGAAAUGUACAAAUAUAACUUAGAUAAAGCCUCAAAAGGUAAUUUAGGACAUAGUGCUAGGGGUUCCUCUGUUAGGAAUUGAUAAGGAGGUUUCAUUUAUGCAGAAUCAUAUGGUCUGGAUAUCAAAACAAGUCUAGAAGCAGAAGUCCUGGCACUAGAAAAAGGUUUACAAUUCUGUGUAUCACACAAUCUACUACUUGUCAUCUUAGAGAUUGAUUCACUUAUUGUGACAAAAAUCUUGGAUGGAAUUUGGGAAAUUCCAUAGAGUAUUAGCUUGAGUAUUAAAAAUAUGUAAUGGUUGAGGAGGAAUAUACAAGUGGAGGUGUCUCUUGGGCUCAGUGAGGAAAAUAAAGUAAUUGACUAUUUUUCUAAUUUUAUUUUUUCCUGUACAGGUACAUAUGUUAAAGCUUUUAAUUUGUUUCAGGAGGUACCUAAAAAGGGAAGUCACUCAUCAUCCUAGAUGCCAAGAAAGUUCCUAAUUUAAGAGUUACUAAAUGUCAAAAUUCCUAUUUUGCAUUUUAAUGAGAACAAAAACUACAUUACAUAGACACCGGCAUCUAGUCAAAUCAACACUGAGAAGAGCUCAACAAGAUUUAUCUUAUAGAAAGAUCAUGGAGUAGUGGUAUAUGCUCCUUCGGAGCUCAAUCUGUCAAAGGACAAGGAAUUAGGGUUGUGGUCUUCUCGCUUGAUAAGACAAAUGAAUAAACAAGAAAAGGAGCAAGACUUAUUUGGAAUGCUAUAAGAUUAGGAGCUUAUAAGUCCAGAGGCGCACCAACCGGAGAACUACUGUGAAACAAGCAAUUAAUCAUAAUAGCUUCUUAAAAGGUUGAGAUUAUAGAGCUUACCUUCGAUAUAAAAGAGUAGAUCUGGGCAACAUCGAGUUGAAGAAGUCUUCCUCAAACAGGAUUACAUGGCACUUGUGAGAGUUAACCCCACUGAACUAAGAAAAAGUCUCGUAUCGACCAAGUAUUUAUUUAGAAUAUCUGUUUUGAUAGAUCCGUUUUGGCUUUACUUUUCCAUAGAUCUUCCCUGAAGAACGGAAUGAAUUGAUCUAACCCACAAUCUGUCACUUACACCUUUGAGAGUUUUCAGCGUUCUGGAUGUAAUCCAUCCAAGCUCAUUGCACCUCAUUUCUAAUCUCUUUCGCUAAGAAGGUUUUCUUCAUUAAUUUCAUUUGUUUCUGAGUUCAUCAAUGGCGGCCAAAGGUGAGGAAGACGAUGGGUCGGCUUUAUCGAGAUAUUUCCAUUUCUGAUGGAUAUUUUUUCUUUCUUUCAUUUUGUUUGUUUUUUCUUCAAUCAAUAGAUUUUCAUUAUUUUGUUUUGUUUUUCCAG
rnacentral:lncRNA from 1 species